CCUAACACAUGCAAGUCGAACGGUAACAGGAAGCAGCUUGCUGCUUCGCUGACGAGUGGCGGACGGGUGAGUAAUGUCUGGGAAGCUGCCUGAUGGAGGGGGAUAACUACUGGAAACGGUAGCUAAUACCGCAUAACGUCGCAAGACCAAAGAGGGGACCUUCGGGCCUCUUGCCAUCGGAUGUGCCCAGAUGGGAUUAGCUAGUAGGUGGGGUAACGGCUCACCUAGGCGACGAUCCCUAGCUGGUCUGAGAGGAUGACCAGCCACACUGGAACUGAGACACGGUCCAGACUCCUACGGGAGGCAGCAGUGGGGAAUAUUGCACAAUGGGCGCAAGCCUGAUGCAGCCAUGCCGCGUGUAUGAAGAAGGCCUUCGGGUUGUAAAGUACUUUCAGCGGGGAGGAAGGGAGUAAAGUUAAUACCUUUGCUCAUUGACGUUACCCGCAGAAGAGGCACCGGCUA
rnacentral:rRNA from 1 species